rnacentral:rRNA from 1 species
GAUGAACGCUGGCGGCGUGCUUAACACAUGCAAGUCGAACGGAAAGGCUCCUGCUUGCAGGGGUACUCGAGUGGCGAACGGGUGAGUAACACGUGGGUGAUCUGCCCUGCACUUCGGGAUAAGCCUGGGAAACUGGGUCUAAUACCGGAUAGGACGAUGGUUUGGAUGCCAUUGUGGAAAGUUUUUCGGUGUGGGAUGAGCUCGCGGCCUAUCAGCUUGUUGGUGGGGUAAUGGCCUACCAAGGCGUCGACGGGUAGCCGGCCUGAGAGGGUGUACGGCCACAUUGGGACUGAGAUACGGCCCAGACUCCUACGGGAGGCAGCAGUGGGGAAUAUUGCACAAUGGGCGCAAGCCUGAUGCAGCGACGCCGCGUGGGGGAGGACGGCCGUCGGGUUGUAAACUCCUUUCGCUAGGGACUAAGCGCAAGUGACGGUACCUGGAGAAGAAGCACCGGCUAACUACGUG